rnacentral:tRNA from 2 species
GACUGCGUGGCCAAGUUGGUUAAGGCGUACGACUGUUAGAAACACGUGUUCGGAAAUCGUAAGAUCGAGAGUUCGACCCUCUCCGCGGUCG